CCUACGGGUGGCUGCAGUGGGGAAUUUUGGACAAUGGGGGCAACCCUGAUCCAGCCAUUCCGCGUGAGUGAAGAAGGCCUUCGGGUUGUAAAGCUCUUUUGUCCGGAGCGAAACGGGCGGCCCUAAUACGGUCGUCUACUGACGGUACCGGAAGAAUAAGCACCGGCUAACUACGUGCCAGCAGCCGCGGUAAUACGUAGGGUGCGUGCGUUAAUCGGAAUUACUGGGCGCGAUUCGGGAACAGGCGGGUGAAAUCCCCGGGCUAAACCUGGGAAUGGCAUUUGGGACUGCAAGGCUGGAGUGUGGCAGAGGGGACUAGAAUGCCUGGUGUAGCAGUGAAAUGCGUAGAUAUCAGGAGGAAUACCGAUGGCGAAGGCAGGUCCCUGGGUUAACACUGACGCUCAUGCACGAAAGCGUGGGGAGCAAACAGGAUUAGAUACCCGAGUAGUC
rnacentral:rRNA from 1 species